rnacentral:rRNA from 1 species
ACGCUGGCGGCAGGCCUAACACAUGCAAGUCGAGCGGUAGAGAGAAGCUUGCUUCUCUUGAGAGCGGCGGACGGGUGAGUAAUGCCUAGGAAUCUGCCUGGUAGUGGGGGAUAACGUUCGGAAACGGACGCUAAUACCGCAUACGUCCUACGGGAGAAAGCAGGGGACCUUCGGGCCUUGCGCUAUCAGAUGAGCCUAGGUCGGAUUAGCUAGUUGGUGGGGUAAUGGCUCACCAAGGCGACGAUCCGUAACUGGUCCGAGAGGAUGAUCAGUCACACUGGAACUGAGACACGGUCCAGACUCCUACGGGAGGCAGCAGUGGGGAAUAUUGGACAAUGGGCGAAAGCCUGAUCCAGCCAUGCCGCGUGUGUGAAGAAGGUCUUCGGAUUGUAAAGCACUUUAAGUUGGGAGGAAGGGCAGUUGCCUAAUACGUAACUGUUUUGACGUUACCGACAGAAUAAGCACCGGCUAACUCUGUGCCAGCAGCCGCGGUAAUACAGAGGGUGCAAGCGUUAAUCGGAAUUACUGGGCGUAAAGCGCGCGUAGGUGGUUUGCUAAGUUGGAUGUGAAAUCCCCGGGCUCAACCUGGGAACUGCAUUCAAAACUGACUGACUAGAGUAUGGUAGAGGGUGGUGGAAUUUCCUGUGUAGCGGUGAAAUGCGUAGAUAUAGGAAGGAACACCCAGUGGCGAAGGCGACCACCUGGACUGAUACUGACACUGAGGUGCGAAGGCGUGGGGAGCAAAC